rnacentral:rRNA from 1 species
GACAGAGGUGCCAAGCGUUAGGCGGAAUCACUGGGCUUAAAGCGUGUGUAGGUGGAAGCGUAAGUACCUUGUGAAAUCCCACGGCUCAACCGUGGAACUGCUGGGUAUACUGCUUUUCUUGAGCCACUUAGGGGCUGUCGGAACAAACGGUGGAGCGGUGAAAUGCGUAGAUAUCGUUUGGAACGCCAAUGGUGAAAACAGACAGCUGGGAGUGUGCUGACGCUGAGACACGAAAGCCAGGGGAGCGAACGGG